rnacentral:rRNA from 1 species
CUCACCGCCUGGCCGCUGUCUUACNACGCCUCCUUCCCUGCCGUCGCGCGACCUGGGCUUACCGACGCUUGCUCUUUACGGACACGUUACGCGGCGGUACCGGGUGACGUACACCACCGUAGGGUACACCCCUGCCCACUACACGACCUGGGUACUACACCUCCGGGUACACACCCGGGGGCCUUACACUUACCCCGGACUACACCACUUUUUGGCACCUGCACUNGGUGCGACACACUUGACACACGGGCGGGCCUCGGCUGUCACCUUUACUACGGUACUUCGGUACGCCCCGCGUUCGCUCACUUUACUGCU